rnacentral:tRNA from 1 species
GUGUAGCUUAGAGGAUAGGGCGUCAGACUUCGAAUCUGAAAAUCGCGGGUUCGAAUCCCGUCA